AUGGGAUUUUUGCUCCUUGUAAUUUUCGCUGUAGCCGCUUUGGAAGGUGUCCGGUCCCAGGUGCAGCUGGUGGAGUCCGGAGGGGAUGUGAAAAAGCCCGGAGACUCUCUCCGCCUCUCCUGCAAAGCCUCCGGGUUCGACUUCAGCAGCUAUUACAUGAGCUGGGUCCGACAGGCUCCUGGCAAAGGACUAGAAUGGGUCGCUUAUCUCAACAGCGCUGGGGGUGAUAUACAAUACCUUGAUUCAGUGAAAGGCCGAUUCACCAUCUCCCGGGAUAAUCCCAAGAGUGAGCUGUAUCUGCAAAUGACCGGCCUGAAGCCCGAGGACACCGCCCGCUAUUACUGUCCCCGCUGGGCCUGCGGUGCAGAGAUCCCUCGCUCCAUCUGUGAACCCCAAUCCGGAGUGAGUCCUGUUCUGUGUCGCUCUCCCCUCGCUGACCCGGAACGUUGGCUCUCCCGGUUUGAUAUGCUCAUUACUUCAUUCACAUGA